rnacentral:rRNA from 1 species
UGCCAGCCGCCGCGGUAACACGAACCGUGCUAACGUUGUUCGGAAUCAUUGGGCUUAAAGGGCGCGUAGGCGGUAUGUUAAGUCAAUGGUGAAAUCCUACGGCUCAACCGUAGAACUGCCGUUGAUACUGGCAUACUGGAGGAAGGUAGAGGUGCGUGGAACUUCCGGUGGAGCGGUGAAAUGCGUUGAUAUCGGAAGGAACGCCGGUGGCGAAAGCGACGCACUGGACCUUUUCUGACGCUGAGGUGCGAAAGCUAGGGUAGCAAACGGGAUUAGAUA